GGCCGGUUGGCCCAAUUGGUAAGGCGUCUGACUACGAUCAAAGCACACACGCCCUGUGUUCUCAACAUCAUCGAUAAUCAGGAGAUUCUGGGUUCGAGCCCCAGGCUGGUCA
rnacentral:tRNA from 1 species